rnacentral:rRNA from 1 species
GACGAACGCUGGCGGCGUGCUUAACACAUGCAAGUCGAACGGAAAGGCCCUGCUUGCAGGGUACUCGAGUGGCGAACGGGUGAGUAACACGUGGGUGAUCUGCCCUGCACUUCGGGAUAAGCCUGGGAAACUGGGUCUAAUACCGGAUAGGACCAUCGUUUAGUGUCGGUGGUGGAAAGUUUUUCGGUGCAGGAUGAGCCCGCGGCCUAUCAGCUUGUUGGUGGGGUAAUGGCCUACCAAGGCGUCGACGGGUAGCCGGCCUGAGAGGGUGGACGGCCACAUUGGGACUGAGACACGGCCCAGACUCCUACGGGGAGGCAGCAGUGGGGGGAAUAUUGCACAAUGGGCGCAAGCCUGAUGCAGCGACGCCGCGUGGGGGAUGAAGGCCUUCGGGUUGUAAACCCCUUUCAACCAUGACGAAGCUGGCCUUGUUGGGUCAGUGACGGUAGUGGUAGAAGAAGCACCGGCUAACUACGUGCCAGCCGCCGCGGUAA